UCAGCCGCCAGCGUUUUGCCUCCCCUGCUUCUCAACACACCUAUCUCCUUGAUCCCCAUCACCGGCCUCCGAGCCCCACCUCCUCUCUCGGGCGCGUCUCGCGCGUACCUCUCGCGGUAGCAGGAGGAAAGAGCAACGGCAGAGGGGCGUCGAAACUGGUGCCCAUUCUGGGGCAGAGGCGACGUACAUGUGCGUCAUUGUGAUAAGGAUUGCACUCAUAUCAUUCGAGACGAUAUCGAUCAGAAUAACAAGGGCAUUUCGACGUUGGGGAAGAUGAAGUAGAGCAGAGACCUCACGCUCAAGAAGCGGUGAGGUGCCUGACCUACUUCAUCUUCACCAACGAAGAGAACGGCGAAUGCAACAUUGACGGCUGCUUGCGCUGCAGAAAACUAUCAAGGAGCUCAACGAGACCACAAUAAAAAAGAAUACAUAUAAGGAUAUAUUUUGAAGAGAAGUACAAAAAAAGAGAAUGGUAUAUACUAUACACUCGUGUCUUGAAAUCUUACUCAAAGCUGAACUUGCCGGCCAUAGAUCCAGCUGAAAGGAACAACCGGCAAAUGCUUCCCGCUCCCCUGAGCUCGCUCCACCAGCUUCCUAAACCUUGGUCCUAGGGAACAGAGGUAAUCCUGAGUGCGCCGCCCUUCCCCGGACAACCUGGUGAGGCCGGCGACGUUCCACCUCUUGACCAGGAACUCGAGGAUGUCGGCGUAGUCCAAGGCGGUGUAGACGCCCAGCCGCUGUGCCACCGCGCUGAAGUGCUCAAACAGGUUUUGUCCUGCCCAUCAUACAUCAGGUGGGCGGCCAUCGUGAUCUUCUUCAUAAUGCUGGCGAAGGCCAGGACCGUGUAGUCGGGAUCGACCUCGAAGUGCUUCUCCACUAUCUUGGUAUAGGCAAGCUCAUGGCGCCUUUCGUCGGCCGCGAUGGUGCCGCAUAUCUGGGCCAGCUUCAAGGCCCCGUACUUCCUGGCGUGCCUUGCUGUGUUGCCGUGAGAUAUGAAGGUUUUUUUUUUUUGAGUAACGGCCCUAAGGCAUUUUAUUCAUUCAUAGACCGUACAUAGUCCAAGUGCACCACCACACUUAAGAACUCAGGGAUUACAUCAUAGGUUACAUUUUGCACGCUUGUAAACAGACAGUGCUUAGCUAAAAGAUGUGUUGUUUCGUUUGCUCCUCGUCCACAAUGUCUCACUUCAAAUCCCUGAAAAGAUGAGAGGUACGAAGUC